UAACUCUACACGUACCAGCCAACAUACACAGACGUGUUUUUACCUAAGUGGUGGCAUACGACGAACGCCGUUUUGCACCUUGCUUUUUUUCUCCUGACGCUCCAUCUUUGAGAACGUUGUGGGUCACCUCGUGAACCGCUUCAUUGCUUUUCGUGGCCUCAUGAUAUUCCAUUGCAUGGAGAUGCCACGUGUGUGUAAGCAGUUGGAAUGUUUAGGUGCUGAUCCUGUUAUCUGUUAUAUCUGUUGUCCUUUCCAUCUUAAUGUUCUCUGCACACUUGUUGUCUUCGUUUACACCUGAGUCAGGGUCCUGUAGGAAGCUGUGGUGUGCUGGAGAAAGCUGCGGGUGAUUUAGAUCUGUGUCCUGCGAUGAGUCAUGUGUGUACUCCGUGAAUACUCAGAGAUGCCCACCGAUAGCUACUCUUUAGACACAUUUCUCCAUCAUGUUCGCAAGGACUGUUUGGACCACAUCUUGCUUUUCAUAGGUAUUGCCAUCAGAGAGUCUGCAAAGGCGGUCGACCAAGCCCAGAGGAGGGUGUUGAGGGGUGUCGACGACCUGGACUUCUUCAUAGGGGACGAAGCCAUAGAUAAACCCACGUACGCCACAAAGUGGCCAAUAAGACACGGAAUAAUUGAAGACUGGGAUCUAAUGGAAAGGUUCAUGGAACAAGUGAUUUUUAAAUAUCUUCGAGCUGAGCCUGAGGAUCAUUAUUUUUUAAUGACAGAACCUCCACUGAACACACCAGAAAACAGAGAAUAUCUUGCAGAAAUUAUGUUUGAAUCAUUUAAUGUACCAGGACUCUACAUUGCAGUUCAGGCAGUGCUGGCCUUGGCAGCGUCUUGGACCUCGCGACAAGUGGGCGAACGUACGUUAACGGGGAUCGUCAUCGACAGUGGGGAUGGGGUCACCCAUGCUAUCCCAGUGGCAGAAGGGUAUGUCAUUGGGAGCUGCAUCAAACACAUCCCUAUCGCAGGGAGAGAUAUUACGUAUUUCAUGCAACAGCUGCUGAGGGAGCGGGAGGUGGGGAUUCCUCCGGAGCAGUCGCUGGAGACUGCCAAAGCCAUCAAGGAGAAAUACUGUUACAUUUGCCCUGAUAUCGUCAAGGAAUUUGCCAAGUAUGAUGUGGAUCCUCAGAAGUGGAUCAAACAGUACACGGGCAUCAAUGCAGUCAACCAGAAGAAGUUCAUUAUAGAUGUUGGCUACGAAAGGUUCCUGGGCCCCGAGAUUUUCUUUCACCCGGAGUUUGCCAACCCAGACUUUAUGGAGUCCAUCUCGGACGUUGUUGAUGAAGUCAUACAGAACUGCCCCAUCGACGUCCGUCGUCCGCUGUAUAAGAAUGUCGUUCUUUCAGGGGGCUCGACGAUGUUCAGGGACUUUGGACGUCGCCUGCAGAGAGACUUAAAAAGGGUGGUGGACGCCAGACUGAGACUCAGCGAGGAGCUCAGCGGUGGCAGAAUAAAGCCCAAGCCCGUGGAGGUCCAGGUGAUAACGCAUCAUAUGCAGCGCUAUGCGGUGUGGUUUGGAGGCUCCAUGCUGGCCUCAACUAUAUGCUGCCCGGACUACGUGACAGACCCAGUAAAGCCCUGGACACCACGGCACAGGCUUGGAGCUGACGUAUGGAUCCAUAGAGAACUUGGUUCCUUCCCCCACUUGAGGACUCUGAUGAAGUGCCGUGCUGCGGGUGUGAGAUCUGCCUUCCCUGAUGGCUGCGCAGAGGUGCUGGUGACGCAGCCUUGAGGCGUGAGGAGAAAAUGCCCCGUGGGAUGUGACUUUGAUCAACGAGGGAAGUGUGCAGUCAGCGAUUGGUUUGAGUACAGAUCCGGAGGCCCCUUGUAAUUAUUUCCCAGGCUCCCAGCAAGGACCCAGAGCUCUGAGCUUGGGAACCCCUGUCACAGAUCGUUGGAAACUGAGUCAUCAAUCACCCUUGCCUCGAAAACCGCUUGUGACUUAAAUGUCGUCGUCCCCAACCUGGCUACAACAGAACCACCUUCUGAGUUUCACCCCUGGUGAUCAGUGACGUUUGAGAUCAGGGGUUUGAGUAACUGAGAGCUCCCCUACGAGGACUAUGCACUUUGAGUCAUCAGACGUUGGCUCUUGGAAAUAAAGUUCAGCAACGGGAGUGAACGGUUUACUAACGGUACCUUACAUACGAUCAGGGUGCACAGACUUUCCAGCACUUCCUCUCUUCCUGGAUACACAAGAAAUGUUUCCCAGCCCCAUGGCAAUAGCUAACCCCGGCCACUGGGCUGGGAACAGACGUGGGCUGGGUCACUUGGGGGGAGCAGGUAAAGCGGCUGGGGGUUCUCCGUGGGCUCUUCCCCUGACGCAGGGACUCUGAUGUCACAGUCAAGUUGCGUCACAGUGAGCGAGCCAUCCAGACCCUCAGCGCGCUUGGAGUGAGUGCAGAAUAAACCUCGUUGGGAUAGUCUGGAAUUGAUUCUAAUUACAACGAAACCGGGCUCCUCCUAACUGAUUUACCAUUGCUGAGAUAUUGCUCAACCAUGAUUACUUGUAAUUCUGAAACUAUACUG